rnacentral:rRNA from 1 species
UACGGAGGGUGCAAGCGUUAUCCGGAUUUAUUGGGUUUAAAGGGUCCGUAGGCGGACCGUUAAGUCAGUGGUGAAAGCCCACAGCUCAACUGUGGAAUUGCCAUUGAUACUGGCGGUCUUGAGUACAUGUGAAGUUGGCGGAAUGUGUGGUGUAGCGGUGAAAUGCUUAGAUAUCACACAGAACACCGAUUGCGAAGGCAGCUGGCUAACAUGUAACUGACGCUGAGGGACGAAAGUGUGGGGAUCAAACAGG